UGGGCCGGUCGAACACGAUCCAAAGCCGGGUUUGGGCUGAGUAGCCCAAGUCAAGACCCGAGCUGAGGGUCAGCCCCAAAUACAAAAGAGUCAGGUUCCCGCCUCUUGCAUUAUUUUAGUUAAUUCAGUUCGGAACAGAGUGCAUCGCAGGACGUGAGAGUUCAUUGUUCGUUACUGAAAAUGGGGAAUAACUUCACUCGAGCUGUAAGAGAGGUGCUGGAACAAGACCUAGAGCGUCAGUUGGCUAUGCAACGAAUAGAAAGAGAAAUUCGUCUGGCUCAGCUCAAUAAACUUGGACCAUUUGGGUUGUUGUUUCUAGUCUGUGGAUUUGUUCUUGUGCCGUAUCUGGUUAACCGGCUGUGGGACUAUUACUUUAGGAAUCCUCCUCGCAGAGAUGAUGAGAAUCAUGUGGACUGAGGCUGCUCGGGUGGAGAAGGAGAAGGAGCUCGGACGGGAAAAGCAGAACUGCCUUUUUUUGGAUUUUGGAUUUUGAAAGGGUCCGCCAAACAUGAAAUAAAGCAGAAAAAGAUUACUAUAUUGUGAUGUAAAUAAAGCAAUGGUUUCACUCCAUUUUUUUUCCUUCCUUUCCAUUUCCAUGAGACUUAUCAUCAACUGAACAGGGACAAGCUAUGGUUGAAUGAAAUUUGAGGCAGAUUUCUAGUCUGAAUAAUGAAGAUGUUUUGAAUCUGUUUUGAAUCUUUAUACUGAAUUGAAUGGAAUUUGAUGCAGAUUGCUAAUAUGAUGAUGAACAUGUUUUGAAUCUUUAUACUUGUAUUUUCUGGCGUCAUUUAGCUGGACAAGAAGGCAGAUGCACAUAAGGUGGUCAUGUUGCGGGUUGGUGCUCAGAGUGAUUAUAUCGUGCUGCAAAUAAAGCUCCGGAGAAGGCAGGCACGUGUUUUGCAUCUUUAUACCUUUUGUCUAAUACGAAAAAGGAGUAUGCGGAUGGUGAU